AUUGAACGCUGGCGGCAGGCCUAACACAUGCAAGUCGAGCGGGGUUUUCGGACCUAGCGGCGGACGGGUGAGUAAUGCGUAGGAAGCCACCCGAUAGAGGGGGAUACCAGUUGGAAACGACUGUUAAUACCGCAUAAUGUCUACGGACCAAAGUGUGGGACCUUCGGGCCACAUGCUAUCGAAUGCGCCUACGUGGGAUUAGCUAGUUGGUGAGGUAAUGGCUCACCAAGGCGACGAUCUCUAGCUGGUUUGAGAGGAUGAUCAGCCACACUGGAACUGAGACACGGUCCAGACUCCUACGGGAGGCAGCAGUGGGGAAUAUUGGACAAUGGGCGCAAGCCUGAUCCAGCCAUGCCGCGUGUGUGAAGAAGGCCUUCGGGUUGUAAAGCACUUUCAGCGAGGAGGAGGGGUUGUGUGUUAAUAGUACACAGCCUUGACGUUACUCGCAGAAGAAGCACCGGCUAACUCUGUGCCAGCCGCCGCCGUAAGAC
rnacentral:rRNA from 1 species